AUUGAACGCUGGCGGAAUGCUUUACACAUGCAAGUCGAACGGCAGCACGGGGGCAGCCCUGGUGGCGAGUGGCGAACGGGUGAGUAAUACAUCGGAACGUGCCCGGUCGUGGGGGAUAACGUAGCGAAAGUUACGCUAAUACCGCAUACGAUCUGAGGAUGAAAGCGGGGGACCUUCGGGCCUCGCGCGAUCGGAGCGGCCGAUGUCAGAUUAGGUAGUUGGUGGGGUAAAGGCCUACCAAGCCGACGAUCUGUAGCUGGUCUGAGAGGACGACCAGCCACACUAGGACUGAGACACGGCCCAGACUCCUACGGGAGGCAGCAGUGGGGAAUUUUGGACAAUGGGCGCAAGCCUGAUCCAGCCAUUCCGCGUGCAGGACGAAGGCCUUCGGGUUGUAAACUGCUUUUGUACGGAACGAAAAGGCUCUGGCUAAUACCUGGGGCUCAUGACGGUACCGGAAGAAUAAGCACCGGCUAACUACGUG
rnacentral:rRNA from 1 species